UGCUUACAAGCCAUUCCCAACGAUGCAGAGUUUAAAAAAAGAAUAACAAUUAAAAUAGUAACACUAGAGGAAUAAAAUAAAAUACACAAGAAUGGAGCUAUAUACAGGGAGUACCAGUACCAGAUCAAUGUGGAGCUAUAUACAGGGAGUACCUGUACCAGAUCAAUGUGGAGCUAUAUACAGGGAGCACCAGAUCAAUGUGGAGUUAUAUACAGGGAGUACAUGUACCAGAUCAAUGUGGAGCUAUAUACAGGGAGUACCAGAUCAAUGUGGAGUUAUAUACAGGGAGUACAUGUACCAGAUCAAUGUGGAGCUAUAUACAGGGAGUACCAGAUCAAUGUGGAGUUAUAUACAGGGAGUACCAGAUCAAUGUGGAGUUAUAUACAGGGAGUACCAGAUCAAUGUGGAGUUAUAUACAGGAAGUACCAGAUCAAUGUGGAGCUAUAUACAGGGAGUACCAGAUCAAUGCGGAGCUAUAGACAGGGAGUACCUGUACCAGAUCAAUGUGGAGCUAUAUACAGGGAGUACCAGAUCAAUGUGGAGCUAUAUACAGGAAGUACCAGAUCAAUGUGGAGCUAUAUACAGGGAGUACCUGUACCAGAUCAAUGUGGAGCUAUAUACAGGGAGUACCUGUACCAGAUCAAUGUGGAGCUAUAUACAGGGAGUACCUGUACCAGAUCAAUGUGGAGCUAUAUACAGGGAGUACCUGUACCAGAUCAAUGUGGAGCUAUAUACAGGGAGUACCAGAUCAGAUCAAUGUGGAGCUAUAUACAGGGAGUACCAGUACCAGAUCAAUGUGGAGCUAUAUACAGGGAGUACCAGAUCAAUGUGGAGCUAUAUACAGGAAGUACCAGAUCAAUGUGGAGCUAUAUACAGGGAGUACCAGAUCAAUGCGGAGCUAUAGACAGGGAGUACCUGUACCAGAUCAAUGUGGAGCUAUAUACAGGGAGUACCAGAUCAAUGUGGAGCUAUAUACAGGAAGUACCAGAUCAAUGUGAAGCUAUAUACAGGGAGUACCAGAUCAAUGCGGAGCUAUAUACAGGGAGUACCUGUACCAGAUCAAUGUGGAGCUAUAUACAGGAGUACCUGUACCAGAUCAAUGUGGAGCUAUGUACAGGGAGUAUCUGUACCAGAUCAAUGUGGAGCCAUAUACAGGAGUACCUGUACCAGAUCAAUGUGGAGCUAUGUACAGGGAGUACCUGUACCAGAUCAAUGUGGAGCUAUAUACAGGGAGUACCUGUACCAGAUCAAUGUGGAGCUAUAUACAGGGAGUACCAGUACCAGAUCAAUGUGGAGCUAUAUACAGGGAGUACCAGAUCAAUGUGGAGCUAUAUACAGGAAGUACCAGAUCAAUGUGGAGCUAUAUACAGGGAGUACCAGAUCAAUGCGGAGCUAUAUACAGGGAGUACCUGUACCAUAUCAAUGUGGAGCUAUAUAAAGGGAGUACCUGUACCAGAUCAAUGUGGAGCUAUAUACAGGGAGUACCUGUACCAGAUCAAUGUGGAGCUAUAUACAGGAGUACCUGUACCAGAUCAAUGUGGAGCUAUGUACAGGGAGUAUCUGUACCAGAUCAAUGUGGAGCCAUAUACAGGAGUACCUGUACCAGAUCAAUGUGGAGCUAUGUACAGGGAGUAUCUGUACCAGAUCAAUGUGGAGCCACAUACAGGAGUACCUGUACCAGAUCAAUGUGGAGCUAUGUACAGGGAGUAUCUGUACCAGAUCAAUGUGAAGCUAUAUACAGGAGUACCUGUACCAGAUCAAUGUGGAGCUAUAUACAGGGAGUAUCUGUACCAGAUCAAUGUGGAGCUAUAUACAGGGAGUACCUGUACCAGAUCAAUGUGGAGCUAUAUACAGGAGUACCUGUACCAGAUCAAUGUGGAGCUAUAUACAGGGAGUAUCUGUACCAGAUCAAUGUGGAGCUAUAUACAGGGAGUACCUGUACCAGAUCAAUGUGGAGCUAUAUACAGGGAGUACCAGUACCAGAUCAAUGUGAAGCUAUAUACAGGGAGUACCAGUACCAGAUCAAUGUGCAGAGGUACAAGGUAUUUGAAGUAGAUGUUUACAUGAAGGCAGGGUAUAGUGACUAGGCAUCAGGAUAGAUAAUUAUAAGAGUAAAAUAAAGAACAGAGUAACAGCAGCAAAUGAUGAGUGUAAAAGUGCGUGUGUCAAAUGUGUAUGCAGGUGGGUGUGUUUGUGUUGUAUCGAUAUGCGUGUGUAUUUUGUGUGUGUGCACAUGUAGUUUAUGUGAAUGUGUGUGGGUUCGGUGUGGGAGUGUCAAUGUAGUGUGUGUGAGUGAGUGUGUACUGUAUAUGGUGUGUAUACACUGAGUAUACCAAACAUUUGGAACACCAUCCUGAUAUUGAGUUUUCCUCUCCCCACCUCUAAAGCUUCCCACAAGGAUGCUGGCUCAUGUUGACUCCAAUGCUUCCCACAGUUGUGUCAAGUUGGCUGGAUGUCCUUUGGGUGGUGGACCAUUCUUGACACACUCAUGAAUCUGUAGAGCGUGAAAAGCCAUGGAGCUCUCGACACAAACCGGUGCACCUGGCACCUACAACCAUACUCCAUUCAAAGGCACUUACAUUUUUUGUCUUUCCAUUCAUUCUCUGAAUGGCACACAUACACAAUCCAUGUGUCAUUUGUCUCAAGGCUUAAAAAUCCUUCUUUAACCUGUCUCUUCCCCUUCAUCUAUACUGAUUGAAGUGGAUUUAACAAAUGACAUGAAUAAGGGAUCAUAACUUUCACCUGGAUUCCCCUGGUCAAUCAUGUAAUGGAUUGACGACUGUUGUGUCAUCAGCAAACCUGAUGAUGGUGUUGGCCGUGUGUGGCCACGCAGUUGUGGGUGAACAGAGAGUACAUUAGGGGACUAAGCACACACCUAUGAGGGGCCCCCGUGUUGAAGGUCAGCGUGGUGAAGGUGUUGUUGCCUACCAACACCACCUUGGGCCGGCCUGUCAUGAAGUCCAGGAUCCAGUUGCAGAGGGAGGGGUUCAGUCCCAGGGUCCCUAUCUUGGUGAUGUGCCUGGAGGGGACCAUGCUAUUGAACACUGAGCUGUAGUCUAUGAAAAGCAUUCUCACAUACUGUAGUUAUUUUCUCUCUUGUCCAGGGGAGAGGGCAGUGUGUACAAUUGAGAUAGGGUCAUCUGUUGAUCUGUUGGGGCGGUAUGCGAAUUGGAGUGGGUCUAGGGUGUCUUGGAUGAUGGUGCUGAUGGGUGUCAUGACCAUGUUUGUUUUGUUGGAUUAAAAAAGCAGAUGUGGAAUAAACCAACUGUUCAAAACCUUGCUUAUGUAACACACACUAGUUCAAGAAUGGGCGAAAUACGUUUUUUUUUUACAGAAAUUCACACCAUGCUAGACUGAGGCCAGAUAUACGUUGCACAGUCAACAUUCUAGGUGAAAAUGACAGAAUUUCUCUUCUCCUCCACUGUCUUACACUUUUCCCCUCAUCUUUCCUGCAGUUUCCAUGGCAACUCUGUGUUGCAUGACUGGUUGUCAGCCCACUCAGGCAAUGCAGUACUGCGCAGUACCCUUAGUGUGAAGUCAGAAAUAAAACAUUCUCUCCGUUCAUUUCACCAUCAUACCAUCUCACCACCACAACAGCUGAGAGAGAGAGAGACCCAGGCACUUCCCCCUCAGACUUCAUGUGUCCCCUAUCACUGCUAUGAGCUCAUACUAGUCCAUUCUCUCUUUAGCCCUCCAAACCCUGGGUGAGUUGUAGCCUAGGUUUUUAUGAACACAAGCAUAGUUACUGUAUAUCAAUGGGCACUGACCUCAUUAACUAAUACCAUGUAAACCUGAACCUCACCCUCCGAAGCAAAUUAAGUUUUAUGCUUUGUUCACUACAAACAAGACAUCCUUAAAAGGCUGUGUAUUUCAAUAGGAAAGGAAGUAAAGCACUAAAGACACUGGAUCUGGAUUAGAGAGUAAUAGCCUGCUGUGAGUUCUGGAGAUAAUUAAGAUGAAAAGAAAUAGAAUGGAUAACGGAAUGGUUUUACAGGAGGUUAUGCAUCAGGACUGCCUUAACAAGAACCAGUAGAGGAUGGCUGAGUUGGAUCCUGUUUGGGAGAGUCAGAGAAGGGUCAUAUUUCAAUAGCAUCUCCUCUCCCUAGCAUGAUAAUGGAAGACGGCAGUUCUACGAUCCUGUUACUGUAAGAAGAUAAACUUUUACAAGGGUAGGGUCAGUGAGUCAGCAUUUAGAGCCUCUCGUUUGACAAAGCAAGAAAUAUCCUGAGCCCCCGCUCUGCAAUAAGACAUAGAUGAGACAAUGUGUCUCGUCUGUCUCCUCUUCUCUCAGGCCCUAAUGCAAAUGUGUGUUCAGCACACUGAUUCAGUAUUAUAAAGCCAUUCACAUGCUGUGAUGCGAGAUUAAUGGUCUCAAUAAAAGUGAAACACACUGGCAAUAAAAGCAAUUGAGGCUCUCUGGUUUGAUGGGAUACUGCUCCUUAAACCAUAUCACAUGACAAAUUGUCAUGGGGGGGGGCAAAGAAAACAAAACAUCAAGAACAACUCAUUAUAACUCCACAGAAAAGUGGAAUUGACAUUCCUGUAGGUCCUUGGCUAUUGUUCGUAGAUAUAGUAUCAGAUGCAUUUUUGUUUUUCUUUAUUUCUGAGUAUGGGGCUGAACAUAUUCGUCACAUUCUUGGACUUAUGGAUAGGCUACACUCACUGGUUUAUUGAGUGGUCUUCAUUUUUCACUGUGUUGCGGUGAUAAACUGCAGGAACAGAAAUACCAAAGUAGGCCAGUGUGAGGCAUUCUGGGAUGCCAGGACACCCCCUGGGCUUCUACAGAAGAAGACAUCUAUUUAAUAUAGCUUCCAUUCAUUCCACAUUGUUUCAUUUUAAAGGUAAAUUCUCAAAAUUAAAGCAUGUUUACAUCCUGUCAAUACUUCAGUUUAAUGUUAUGACUGCAUAGAAUCGAUGAAACAUAUAAAAGUGCUUUCCACACAAUCUUAAAUAAGCAUGCCCCAUUCAAAAAAUGUAGAACCAGGAACAGAUAUAGCCCGUGGUUCACUCCAGACCUGACUGCACUUGACCAGCACAAAAACAUCCUGUGGUGUACUGCAUUAGCAUCGAAUAGCCCCCGCGAUAUGCAACUUUUCAGGGAAGUUAGGAACCAAUAUACACAGGCUGUUAGGAAAGAAAAGGCUAGGUUUUUCAAACAGAAAUUUGCAUCCUGUAGCACAAACUUCAAAAAGUUCUGGGACACUGUAAAGUCCAUGGAGAAUAAAAGCACCUCCUCCCAGCUGCCCACUGCACGAUAAUUUCAAUAAGCAUUUUUCUAAGGCUGGCCAUGCUUUCCACCUGGCCACCCCUACCCUGGUCAACAGCCCUGCACCCCCCACAGCAACUUGCCCAAGCCUCCCCAUUUCUCCUUCCCCCAAAUCCAGAUAGCUGAUGUUCUGAAGGUGCUACAAAUCUGUAAAUAGCCCAUCCAACUACCUCAUCCCCACACUGUUUUUUUUAUUUUUUGCUCUUUUGCACCCCAGUAUCUCUACUUGCACAUUCAUAUUCUGCACAUCUAUCACUCCAGUGUUUAAUUGCUAAAUUGUAAUAGGCCACUAUGGCCUAUUUAUUGCCUUACCUCCCUUAUCCUACCUCAUUUGCACACACUGUAUAUAUACUUUUUUUCCUAUUAUGUUAUUGACUCUAUGUUUGUUUAUUCCACGUGUAACUCUGUGUUGUUGUUUGUGUCGCACUGCUUUGCUUUAUCUUGGCCAGGUCGCAGUUGUAAAUGAGAACUUGUUUUCAACUAGCC
rnacentral:lncRNA from 1 species